UACGGAAGGGGCAAGCGUUGUUCGGAAUCAUUGGGCGUAAAGGGCGCGUAGGUGGUUCUGUAUGUCUACUGUGAAAGCGUACAGCUCAACUGUAUUUUGUCGGUAGAAACUGCAGGACUUGAGGCUGGGAGGGCUGGUGGAAUUCCCUGUGUAGCGGUGAAAUGCGUAGAGAUGGGGAGAACACUCGUGGCGAAGGCGGCCAGCUAGACCAGUUCUGACACUGAGGCGCGACAGCGUGGGGAGCAAACAGG
rnacentral:rRNA from 1 species